rnacentral:rRNA from 1 species
UACGGGGGGAGCAAGCGUUGUUCGGAUUUACUGGGCGUAAAGGGCGCGUAGGCGGCCACCGAAAGUCGACUGUGAAAUCUCCGGGCUUAACCCGGAAAGGUCAGCCGAUACUGCGGGGCUAGAGUGCAGAAGGGGCAACUGGAAUUCUCGGUGUAGCGGUGAAAUGCGUAGAUAUCGAGAGGAACACCUGCGGCGAAGGCGGGUUGCUGGGCUGACACUGACGCUGAGGCGCGAAAGCCGGGGGAGCAAACAGG